UCGAGGGGUACAGGGGAGCUUGCUCCCGCUGACGACCGGCGAACGGGUGAGUAACGCGUUACGUAACCUACCUUCAAGAGAGGGAUAGCCCUGGGAAACUGGGAUUAAUACCUCAUGGCAUCAUAAGAUCACCUGAUCUAAUGAUUAAAGCUGAGGCGCUUGAAGAUGGGCGUGCGUUCUAUUAGAUAGUUGGUGAGGUAACGGCUCACCAAGUCAGCGAUAGAUAGGGGGCGUGAGAGCGUGGUCCCCCACACGGGUACUGAGACACGGACCCGACUCCUACGGGAGGCAGCAGUAAGGAAUAUUGGACAAUGGGCGAAAGCCUGAUCCAGCCAUUCCGCGUGUAGGAUGACGGCCCUCUGGGUUGUAAACUACUUUUAUUUGGGAAGAAACCCUGGGAUUUAUCCCGGGCUGACGGUACCAAAAGAAUAAGCACCGGCUAAUUCCGUGCCAGCAGCCGCGGUAAUACGGAAGGUGCAAGCGUUAUCCGGAAUCACUGGGUUUAAAGGGUGCGUAGGCGGUUGCGUAAGUCAGAAGUGAAAGCUCACAGCUUAACUGUGGAAUUGCUUUUGAUACUGCGCGACUAGAAUUAGGUUGAGGUUGGCGGAAUGUGACAUGUAGCGGUGAAAUGCAUAGAUAUGUCAUAGAACACCAAUUGCGAAGGCAGCUGACUGGACCUAUAUUGACGCUGAGGCACGAAAGCGUGGGGAGCGAACAGGAUUAGAU
rnacentral:rRNA from 1 species